GUCCAAAGGGUUCCUAAAAGCAGGAUUGAAGACUUUGCAUCUCUGCCUACAUUUUAUAUCCAUCUCCUUUAUUCCAUGUCACCUUCGAUUCCAGGAACAAAGUGUGAUCUGAUGAGCAUCUUGUGAUGAAUCCAAGCUCCUCACUCCCCUACCCACAGGCAACAGUACCUUCCUUAUCUCAACAAGGCCUGCCUGACCAAUCCUGAGAUAAUGAUGGACAGACCACACCUGAUCAAGAUCACCUGCUUUGGGCUUGUGCAUAGUGGCACACACCUGUAAUCCCAGCAGCUCAGGAGGCUGAGGUAGGAGGAUCACAAGUUCAAAGCCAGCCUCAGCAACUUGGUUAUGCCCUAGGCAACUUAGUGAGACCGUCUCAAAAUAAAAUUUUUUUAAGAAAGGCUGGGGAUGU
rnacentral:lncRNA from 1 species